AGGAAAGUUUUAUUAUAGCUUUAGGUUCAGUAAUUUAUGGUUUCAUAUGCGAAGUUUUUACUAGAGGAGAUUUUUUGGUGUAGUGAAUAAAUUUAAUGAUUAAGGAGACUUAGAAUUAGAUAUAGAAAGAAUGGUAUAGACUAAUCUUGUGCCAGCAGUUGCGGUUAUACAUGAUAUGCUUCUGAAUUGAGUUCGGGUUAUAUUUGUCACAUUUCUUUAGUAUGAGGGUCAGUUGUAUAAGGUGAAAUUUUGCGAUUGAUCAGAUUAAAUAUGGGGUGAGAAUUUAUUAGAAUUUUGUAAGAAACUAGGAUUAGAUACCCUAUUAUUGAGAAUGUAAAAUUAAAUUCCUGAGUAGUAUUAGAGUUCUUGAAAUUUAAAAAAUUUGGCGGUGUUUUAGUCUGUUCAGAGGAACCUGUCCUGUAAUUGAUGUUCCACGAUUAAUUCGACUUGUUCUUUUAGUUUGUAUAUCGUCGUUAUUUGAAUAUCUUUCAAAGGAAGAAUGUUCAAUAGUUAGAAUUGUAAAAUAAAUCAGAUCAAGGUGCAGCUUACGGAUAAGUAGAGAUGGGUUACAAUAAGAUUAUUAUAUGAAUUGAGAGGUGAAGUUCUCACAUAAAAUUGGAUUUGAUGGUAAGGUGAAUGAUUUAAUUUAUCUGAUUUGAGCUCUAAAAUAUGUACAUAUUGCCCGUCGCUCCUACUUUAAAGUAGGAUAAGUCGUAACAUAGUAGGUGUACCGGAAGGUGUACCUAGAAAGU
rnacentral:ncRNA from 1 species